rnacentral:rRNA from 1 species
UCAGAACGAACGCUGGGGGCAGGCCUAACACAUGCAAGUCGAGCGAGAAGGUUCUUUCGGGAACUGGAGAGCGGCGGACGGGUUAGUAACGCGUGGGAACGUGCCCUAAAGUCUGGGAUAACUAUUAGAAAUGAUAGCUAAUACCGGAUGGUCCCUUCGGGGUAAAGCUUUAGCGCUUUAGGAUCGGCCCGCGUUAGAUUAGGUAGUUGGUGAGGUAAUGGCUCACCAAGCCUACGAUCUAUAGCUGGUUUGAGAGGAUGAUCAGCAACACUGGAACAGAGACACGGUCCAGACUCCUACGGGAGGCAGCAGUGGGGAAUAUUGCGCAAUGGAGGAAACUCUGACGCAGCCAUGCCGCGUGAGUGAAGAAGGCCUUAGGGUUGUAAAACUCUUUCAACGGUGAAGAUGAUGACGGUAACCGUAGAAGAAGCACCGGCUAAMU